UCCUCUUUAUAGCACUGCGCGACAGGGGCCCACCAGCCUUGCUUGGGCUGGACGCCCCCGAUCAGGGCGUGGGUCAAGGUUCCAAUGGGCCGCUGGGCCCAUUGAACGAGAGAUCAAUCUAACAUUCUCCCCCUUUAUCUCAUCAUAUACUUGUAACUUUACUCGUUUCGCAACAGAUCAAUACAUAGGGCAUGUUUCAUCGUCACAGCUCAAUUGCCGAUAGAAUCAGACAGCCACAACGUACCUCUCUGUUUUGAAACAAAUUCAUUAACCUUGGGCCCUUUAUUGUCCGGAAAUUUUAGACUGUACCAUAAAACCCAUGUCGACUGUGUGUUCUCCGAACACACUGGGCGGUAAGCCUUUGAUAAGCAGAUCUGCAAACACUUGUUUAUUGCUUUUAUGCUUCAAGCAUUUCUCCAUAAUUCCGGACUUUCUCCUUCACAACACGUAACUCUUUGUCAGUGCGUUUGGCAUCAACACUUGACUCGUUGUGAUAGGAGCGAAAGAACUUAAAAUGGUUAUCGUUGUUGUCAACCAUUAUCAACUCCGGGUACAGG
rnacentral:lncRNA from 1 species